CGUGGUCCUUGUGUUAAGGUGCAUCUAGUGCAGUUAGUGACGUAGCGUAGAAUCUACUGCCCUAAAUGCUCCUUCUGGCACAAG
ensembl:miRNA